rnacentral:lncRNA from 1 species
UUAAAUUUUCGAAAAUUAGAUUUUCUCCCCCAUUAUUUCUUAAACCCUCCUCGUUCGUUCUCUCUAACUCCACACACGAAUUUUCGAAUUUUUUUUGAAUUUCUCUUCCAAAAAUUCUUCGAUUCCACACACAUAAUUUGCUCACACACUCUCCGAUUCUUAUUUUGUGUUGGUAAUGACAGGGAGGCUAGAGAAUCAAACCAACCUCUACAAAAUUUACUCAUUCGAGGCACGCCCACAAGGUGUUCGACAAAUUGCUCCAACCAAGUUUGGGGGUCGAUUCUCGUCUAAUUUUUACCGGCACCCAUUCUUGAGCCCGUACCCGAGCUUUCCGAUGAGGACGAGCGUGAGAGAGCGAGAGAGGAGCACCCCGAUCACACCGACCCCGAAUAAAUCAGGUGUUUUCUAUCCUUAAACUUUGAGCUAAUCACAUUGAGGGCAAUGUGAAUUUUAAGUUUGGGGGUGGUUAACUACUUGUUUUAUUUUAUGUGCGCUUUAUUUUUGUUUUAUUUCUUUAUUUAUUUUGCAUGCUUUAGUUUUUGUUUGUUU